GGCGAGAUGGCCGAGUUGGUCUAAGGCGUGAGACUAAGGUAGUUAUCUCAUCUCUUCGGGGGCGUGGGUUCAAAUCCCACUCUCGUCA
rnacentral:tRNA from 1 species